rnacentral:rRNA from 1 species
CCUACGGGAGGCAGCAGUAGGGAAUCUUCCACAAUGGACGCAAGUCUGAUGGAGCAACGCCGCGUGAGUGAAGAAGGGUUUCGGCUCGUAAAGCUCUGUUGUUAAAGAAGAACGUGGGUGAGAGUAACUGUUCACCCAGUGACGGUAUUUAACCAGAAAGCCACGGCUAACUACGUGCCAGCAGCCGCGCCUACGGGAGGCAGCAGUAGGGAAUCUUCCACAAUGGACGCAAGUCUGAUGGAGCAACGCCGCGUGAGUGAAGAAGGGUUUCGGCUCGUAAAGCUCUGUUGUUAAAGAAGAACGUGGGUGAGAGUAACUGUUCACCCAGUGACGGUAUUUAACCAGAAAGCCACGGCUAACUACUUCCAGCAGCCGCGGUAAU